UCGUCCUGGCACACACACUCGCUCUCCCACCGCACAGCAGAGCAGAAGCUGCUGUUUCUUCCUCGACUCAGCUGCCAGUUCCUAGAUGAAAGCCACUCCUUUCUGCACACACGUCGGGAUCCCUCGCAAGCGGCCUCCUGCAGGCGGUGUCGAACCAUGGGGCCAGGUGCUAUUGAUCAUGUGCCCGCUGCCAGGCUCCCUGCCACAAGAUCAACAAACAGCACGAGGAAGCUCCCACAAGCUAAGGCAGUCCAAGCCACCAGCCAGGAAGCUCUCUGUAUCCACACUGUCCAUCCAGCCUCUCAGCCUGCCCUGGGCCGGCCUGUGGUACGACAGGGAGCACGGUCCAGACUACCUGGUGGGAGCCCAGCGGGUCAGGACGUGGGAGUGGCGAACACUGACCAGGACUUGCCCCCUAGCAGGGACAGAGCUGUCUGGAGUCGCGAGG
rnacentral:lncRNA from 1 species